rnacentral:rRNA from 1 species
AUGGCUCAGGAUGAACGCUAGCGGCAGGCUUAACACAUGCAAGUCGAGGGGUAACAGGGAGUAGCAAUACUCUGCUGACGACCGGCGCACGGGUGCGUAACGCGUAUGCAACCUACCUGUAACAGGGGGUAUAACGGAGGGAAACUUCCACUAAUCCCCCCAUAUUCUUGCGGAUUCGCAUGUUUCUGCAAGGAAAGCUUUGGUGGUUACGGAUGGGCAUGCGUGACAUUAGCUAGUUGGUAAGGUAACGGCUUACCAAGGCGACGAUGUCUAGGGGAGCUGAGAGGCUUAUCCCCCACACUGGUACUGAGACACGGACCAGACUCCUACGGGAGGCAGCAGUGAGGAAUAUUGGUCAAUGGAGGGAACUCUGAACCAGCCAUCGCCGCGUGGAGGAAGAAGGUCCUAUGGGUUGUAACUCCUUUUGUUCCGGAGUAAUAAGUGGUUUGCGAACCACGAUGAGAGUACGGGACGAAUAAGCAUCGGCUAACUCCGUGCCAGCCGCCGC